CCCUGCCAUUUGUACACACCGCCCGUCGCACCUACCGAUUGAAUGGUCCGGUGAAGCCUCGGGAUUGUGGCCAGUUCUCUUUAUUGGGAGUUGGCUGCGAGAACUUGUCUAAACCUUAUCAUUUAGAGGAAGGUGAAGUCGUAACAAGGUUUC
rnacentral:rRNA from 1 species